UGCCAGCCGCCGCGGUAAGACGGAGGGUGCAAGCGUUGCUCGGAAUCACUGGGCGUAAAGCGUACGCAGGCGGCCCAGCAAGUCGGGUGUGAAAGCCCGGGGCUCAACCCCGGAACUGCAUUCGAAACUGCUGAGCUUGAAUACGGGAGAGGGAAGCGGAAUUCCUGGUGUAGAGGUGAAAUUCGUAGAUAUCAGGAGGAACACCAGCGGCGAAGGCGACUUUCUGGCUCGUAACUGACGCUGAGGCACGAAAGCGUGGGGAGCAAACAGGAUUAGAUA
rnacentral:rRNA from 1 species